rnacentral:rRNA from 1 species
AUUGAACGCUGGCGGCAGGCUUAACACAUGCUAGUCGAGCGGAGAUGAGGUGCUUGCACCUUAUCUUAGCGGCGGACGGGUGAGUAAUGCUUAGGAAUCUGCCUAUUAGUGGGGGACAGCAUUCCGAAAGGAAUGCUAAUACCGCAUACGCCCUACGGGGGAAAGCAGGGGAUCUUCGGACCUUGCGCUAAUCGAUGAGCCUAAGUCGGAUUAGCUAGUUGGUGGGGUAAAGGCCUACCAAGGCGACGAUCUGUAGCGGGUCUGAGAGGAUGAUCCGCCACACUGGGACUGAGACACGGCCCAGACUCCUACGGGAGGCAGCAGUGGGGAAUAUUGGACAAUGGGCGGAAGCCUGAUCCAGCCAUGCCGCGUGUGUGAAAAAGGCCUUUUGGUUGUAAAGCACUUUAAGCGAGGAGGAGGCUCUUAAGGUUAAUACCCUUGAUGAGUGGACGUUACUCGCAGAAUAAGCACCGGCUAACUCUGUGCCAGCCGCCGCAGUAAUAC